UCGGUUAUAAACAUGAGCACCUGAGAGCUAGAAUAUAGCCUGAGCCUGACUAGUAACGACCAGAUACGCUGAAAAUUUAAUUAGCCAUCUUUGCCUCUGACUGAAGGACUGGGUGCAUUCAAUUGUUCCUGGGAUAUGAACCAAUGAGGAGAAUGUUCUCAAUUCCACCAAUAGGAACAAAUCCUGUGGUAACCUUGGAGAUCUGCAUCAGAGCUGCUGACUCAUUUCUCCCUCCCAUCUUUGUGGUCUGGCAGAAAAAAUCAAAGUGAAAAUGGAUGACAGAAAAAAAUCAGUUUACCUAGGACCAGAAUCCAAUUAUCAAAAGAGGAAAUCAUUGUGAGAAAAUGCAGAAUCCAAGCCCAACCCAGGAAUCACAGAUUUUAACGCUGAAGCAGUGGCUUCAGAGACUCGAGCACAUUUCCUGCACCGCAAAUAGAAAUACGUGAUCACAGCAAGAACAUGAGAAUUCUCACCAAAUACUUGCUUUCCUAGAUCUUUUUAUGCCAUCUGGGAACCAAUGAGGAGAGAGAACACAAACCAAGGAUUGGGAAGCGUAGGCGUGCAUUUAACCCCAUGAUCUCAUCAAGAGCCGAUUAUUCAUCAGUGUCUCUUUCCUCCCGAUGUGCUGUAAAAAGAAGCAGAGCAAUUGACAUGGGAAUACAGGAUAAAAUGUAAU